AGAGUUUGAUCCUGGCUCAGGACGAACGCUGGCGGCGUGCUUAACACAUGCAAGUCGACGGAAAGGCCCUGCUUGCAGGGUACUCGAGUGGCGAACGGGUGAGUAACACGUGGGUGAUCUGCCCUGCACUUCGGGAUAAGCUUGGGAAACUGGGUCUAAUACCGGAUAGGAGCCAUCUUUAGUGUGGUGGUUGGAAAGUUUUUUCGGUGUAGGAUGAGCUCGCGGCCUAUCAGCUUGUUGGUGGGGUAAUGGCCUACCAAGGCGGCGACGGGUAGCCGGCCUGAGGGGGUGUACGGCCACAUUGGGACUGAGAUACGGCCCAGACUCCUACGGGAGGCAGCAGUGGGGAAUAUUGCACAAUGGGCGCAAGCCUGAUGCAGCGACGCCGCGUGGGGGAUGAAGGCCUUCGGGUUGUAAACUCCUUUCGCUAGGGACGAAGCUUUUUUGUGACGGUACCUAGAUAAGAAGCACCGGCUAACUACGUG
rnacentral:rRNA from 1 species